AUAAUACCCGGCAGGGGAGACAUCAUAGGUGGUUUUACCCAAGGUGAAGCCCAUCCAUUGCUGAUCUCUACGAUUUCCCCUAAAAGCGGGAAGUUAGACUGCAUGAUUUGUGGUAGUGGGAGACUACGUUUGGUUCGUCCCUG
rnacentral:snRNA from 11 species